UGUUUCAGGUUGAUAUCAACAGGCGUGAACAAGGUUGUGCGGCCCACUAUGAACAGUAUUGUCAACAUGUUGUUACAGGAUUGUUCAACUGUAACAACUUGGAACAACAUGGUUGACAACUUGUUCAUAGUUGGCCGCAAAACAUUGUUCACGCCUGUUGAUAUCAACUGAAACA
rnacentral:miRNA from 1 species